rnacentral:lncRNA from 1 species
CACGCUGUCUGAUCCGCCAAACCUCAGCAACCUGGAGGAGUUCCCUCCCGUAGGCUCGGUUUCCCCCGGCCCUACAGGCAGGACGAAGCCUUCUCGCAGGAUCAACCCAACUCCGGUGAGCGAAGAGCGGUCACUCUCCAAGCCCAAGACCUGCUUCACCUCACCCCCAAUCAGCUGUGUCCCCAGUUCCCAACCCUCAGUCCUGGACACUAGCCCUUGGGGCCUUGGCCUUCCCCCAGGGUGCAGAAGUCUGCAAGAGGAGCGAGAGAUGCUCAGGAAGGAGCGCUCUAAGCAGCUGCAGCAGUCACCUACCCCCACCUGUCCCACCCCAGAAUUGGGGUCGCCCCUCCCCAGACGGACAGGAAGCCUCACAGAUGAACCUGCGGACCCUGCCAGAGUGUCUUCCCGCCAGCGCCUGGAGCUUGUAGCCCUUGUUUACUCCUCGUGCAUUGCUGAGAACCUGGUACCAAACCUCUUCUUGGAGCUUUUCUUCGUCUUUCAGCUCCUCACUGCCCGGAGGAUGGUGACUGCCAAGGACAGUGACCCUGAACUAAGUCCAGCUGUCCUAGAUUCCCUGGAAAGUCCACUGUUCCAAAGCAUCCACGAUUGUGUCUUCUUUGCAGUGCAGGUUUUGGAGUGUCACUUUCAGUCUCUCUGGUGAUGCCUCCCUCUACUCAAGCUGUCUCCUUUCAGCCAGAGACUGACAAUCGUGCCAACUUCUCCAGUGACCGAGCCUUUCAUACUUUUAAGAAACAGAGGGAUGUGUUUUAUGAGGUGCUGCGAGAGUGGGAAGAUCACCAUGAGGAGCCUGGCUGGGAUUUUGAGAAGGGCUUGGGCAGCAGAAUCAGGGCCAUGAUGGGUCAGCUCUC